AAAAUUAUGCACCCGACUCGCUUCACGUCAAAUAAGAACAUACAGAUGAUUAGUUCAAUGUUAAACAUCAAUUAGAUGACUAACCAUCAACAGUCUAUACAUGUAAGUGGGAAGUGUUGCACACGAUCUUUAUGUGCUGAUGUCUAUUUCGUAUGUAAUAAACUAUAUGUACUCCAAAACCGACUCACAAAUGCUAAAACCACUAUUACACCCC
rnacentral:lncRNA from 1 species